GCCAGCGUGGCAUAGUGGUUUAAGCAUUAGACGACAACUGGAGACCAGGGUUCAAAUCCCUGCUCAGCCA